GAGAUUUCGUCACACACCAGACCACAAGGGCUGAUGAGACUACCAAGAUAAGUGAAGCG
rnacentral:pre_miRNA from 1 species